GACUCUGUGGUGAAAUUCAUGUUGAGUUGCAAGCUCAUUGAUGUGCAUUAGAGAUGUACCAGAGUCU
rnacentral:tRNA from 1 species